rnacentral:rRNA from 1 species
GUUAUAUGGUCAAGUGAAGAAGCGCAUACGGUGGAUGCCUUGGCAGUCAGAGGCGAUGAAAGACGUGGUAGCCUGCGAUAAGCUUUGGGGAGUCGGCAAACAGACUGUGAUCCAGAGAUCUCUGAAUGGGGGAACCCACUCAGCACAAGCUGAGUAUCUUGUACUGAAUACAUAGGUGCAAGAGGCGAACCAGGGGAACUGAAACAUCUAAGUACCCUGAGGAAAAGAAAUCAACCGAGAUUCCCUUAGUAGUGGCGAGCGAACGGGGACCAGCCCUUAAGUUGGUUUGAGAUUAGUGGAACGCUCUGGAAAGUGCGGCCAUAGUGGGUGAUAGCCCCGUACACGAAAAUCUCUUGUCAAUGAAAUCGAGUAGGACGGAGCACGAGAAACUUUGUCUGAAUAUGGGGGGACCAUCCUCCAAGGCUAAAUACUACUGACUGACCGAUAGUGAACCAGUACCGUGAGGGAAAGGCGAAAAGAACC